UCCAGGGGUUUAAAAGUAAUCUGCCAGGCUCCUUGGAUCAUCCAAGUUCUAACGGGUACUGACCCGUUGUACAAUAGAACUAAGACCUGCUUCAAUUCGCGUUGGAUCCGACCGAAAGCGGGCGCUCCACAUUAUUUUUUGAAAUCCUCGGUCGGUUAUUUUUUCCCGUCAUUUCAGGAGCUGUUAACUCCACCACUUUCCAUCCAUGAUUUCAGCAGCCAGAUACUCCUGCAAUUUGAAAACUCAACGUGCCUGUGACGACUCUUUCUACCGACGCAGAGUUUCAGAUUCCGGUACACACUCAUCUCUCAGACAAUGGAAUCAGGUAAGUGUCGAUCUUCGCUAGGUGUACUCGAGAUUAAGGGAAAAGGUAAUAAUCCCGGCAUCGAAGCCGUAUAUCUCCUUGAUUGGAAAUCAGAAUGCAGCAUAUCAAACAGUGAUAACUUGGGGUGACAAAGCUUCUGAUAUAGUCAAGGAUGGCACUGUUCUUGGCACCUACAGGCUACAGAUCAGCUUCUGUCACUGUUCUAUCCGAUUACCUUUGUGCGGCUGGGAUCACUUUCGAGAUUUCAAGUGCGGCGUUAUGACAUGUAUACUAUAGUCGUUAAUUUAAGCACCAAAUUGGAUUAAGAUUUUAAAAUCAUAUACAGGAUUCAAGGAUUCUGCAUUGACUAUUAGUGAAGUUUCGGGCAACGCAUCAUAGAAGAUUUAUCAUCGUGAUAUUGCAUAUAACAAGACUGUGCCAGUUUCGCGAUUUGAAACUCCAACUCCUGCCAAUAUGAACCACCAACAACUCUCCCAGUCCACACAUGGUUCAACAUUUUGUGUUGCUGCUGUUGAAUCUGCUGGUUGACAGCUGCCUAUGGCUUUCCUUGAAAGAAUCAAGGAAGAUUUUACCAAGAGAUAUGGUGGGGGCAAAGCCGGAACAGCUGUUGCAAAUAGUCUAAACAAAGAGUUUGGUAUUUUACAUUGUUGCUGACAAAGUAUCACAAGGCAGCGACACACCGGGAACUGCUACGUCUUCUCCAAAGAGAGUUAAACUGGAAAAAUAGACUGGAGCUUCUUGAUGAUAAAGGCAUGCUGCUUCAACUGGACGGGGAGGUCAUCCUUGGAUUCUCAAUGUCGAAUUUUUCUUCCUUAUUCGCAAUGGAUGUUAGUAUUUUAUUUUGGUUUUUCCAGAAAUUAUUGAAUGUUUCGGAUUAUUACAAUUAUAAUAUUCAUGUUCAAUGCUUUGCGGUUUGUUCAAUCAUCCUGUUUGUUUGUUGCUAAUGACAUUUAAUAUUUAAGAACUAUCUAUUUGCAGAAAUGAUUUGCUGUUUUGAAUAGCAAAACAGGAUAUGCAGGUUCAUUGCAUAUCUGCAAGUUAUAAGAUCAAGUGUAACCAGUUUCUAAUUCUUUCAUCUGCAGCUUAGAACAUGAUUUAAUCUUAUAACCUUUUAUUUCGCUUUUACUACUUUUGCCAGAAGGAGAAUUAUUAUUUAUUUCAUUUGUCUUGGUGCUGAUCCUUAAUGUCCAGGAAGUGAUUUCGCGUGCACUUCAUUAACCUCAGCUUUUGUCCAGACCUGCUUUUUUAAGAGUACAAUGCAUACAUAAUGAGAUUAUGAUCAGUUCUGAUUUAUUUUGCGUUGUUUUCACUAAUAACAUUUCAAUGAUUUCACUGAUGAUCAUGUGCAACUAUAGAUCUUGCAUUAAACUCUAUCUAGGAUUCGAGCAGACGUUUCUCAGAUUUGUUUUCUGUCUGUAGAGGUAGAUUUCCUCCACCGUGAGAUUUUAGUAAUUUAUAAAAUGGGAUCAUAGCUUAACUAAAUGGUUUACAAUACCGAUUUCAUGGAACCAUAAUGGAAUCAUCUGAAAAGCUCGAGAGUUAGCUUUUCACCAUCGGUGUUCCUUAUUGUCCCAUUACUAUGCUGCUUUCUAAAGAUAAGGAGCCAAUAUACCACACUUAACAAUCUAGAAAAGGGUUACAGAAUACAUUACAUGGAGAACUAAAUCUUCUCAUAGUUCUCGUGUCUUUUUUCAAAAUUUUCAAAUAUGCAGACUCCAGCAACUAUUCGUGACGAGGAAAAGAAGCUACCAAACUAUGUGCAGAUCUAUGUGAUGCUCCAGGUCAGUUACUAUUACAAUCAUCAACGAGGCAGAAAACGUGUUCACUUGCUGUGCAGAAAGCACUAUGAAGCACUGGUUUAUGCAGGCACUUGAAGAUAAUCAAGGUUCAGUUGUGCUGUAUCUGCAGCCACUGAUUUUAUGGUUAUUAUCCUCCAAUUGCAAGAUUAAUGCUACCACCGUCUACAGCGCAUGAUACUAAGUUCUGUCAAAUGAAUUAAAUAUCACUCAAAGAGUAAUAGUAGGUUGUGGCUCAAAGAAUGUGAUUUGUAGC